AUUGAACGCUGGCGGCAUGCUUUACACAUGCAAGUCGAACGGUAACAGGUUAAGCUGACGAGUGGCGAAUGGGUGAGUAAUGCAUCGGAACGUGCCCGAUCGUGGGGGAUAACGCAGCGAAAGCUGCGCUAAUACCGCAUACGAUCUGAGGAUGAAAGCGGGGGACCGUAAGGCCUCGCGCGAUCGGAGCGGCCGAUGUCAGAUUAGGUAGUUGGUGGGGUAAAGGCUCACCAAGCCGACGAUCUGUAGCUGGUCUGAGAGGACGACCAGCCACACUGGGACUGAGACACGGCCCAGACCCCUACGGGAGGCAGCAGUGGGGAAUUUUGGACAAUGGGCGAAAGCCUGAUCCAGCAAUGCCGCGUGCAGGAAGAAGGCCUUCGGGUUGUAAACUGCUUUUGUACGGAGCGAAAAGGCUCUCUCUAAUACAGGGGGCUCAUGACGGUACCGUAAGAAUAAGGACCGGCUAACUACGUGCCAGCCGCCGCCGUAA
rnacentral:rRNA from 1 species